GAUCAGAUGGCGCAAUGGUAGCGUGUGGUCCUCCUAUGCUACUUGGAGAAUCAGACUGAGGCUGUGGGUUCGAGUCCCAUUCUGAUCG